rnacentral:rRNA from 1 species
GAUGAACGCUGGCGGCGUGCCUAAUACAUGCAAGUAGAACGCUGAAGGAGGAGCUUGCUCUUCUGGAUGAGUUGCGAACGGGUGAGUAACGCGUAGGUAACCUGCCUGGUAGCGGGGGAUAACUAUUGGAAACGAUAGCUAAUACCGCAUGACAACAGUUAUUGCAUGAUAACUGUUUAAAAGGGGCAACUGCUCCACUACCAGAUGGACCUGCGUUGUAUUAGCUAGUUGGUGAGGUAACGGCUCACCAAGGCGACGAUACAUAGCCGACCUGAGAGGGUGAUCGGCCACCCUGGGAUUGAGACACGCCCCAGACUCUUCGGGGGGGAAGCGGCAGGGAAUCUUCGGCAAUGAACGGAAGUUGAACCGGGCAACGCCGCGGGAGGGAAGAGGGUUUUCGGUCGUAAAGCUCUGUUGUAAGAGAAGAACGAGUGUGAGAGUGGAAAGUUCACACUGUGACGGUAUCUUACCAGAAAGGGACGGCUAACUACGUG